GCAGACAAUACUCUGUUCUUUGCUGUUCUCUCCAGUCUGGAACUUUUUGUGUCUGUUACAUAAAAGUCAGAGUACAUCAACUACUUGCUUUUUCUGAAAGGCAGGUGCUGGUUUGUUCUGCGACAUGCAU
rnacentral:snoRNA from 10 species